GUCCUCAAUCUGUUGCGGGCAAAUGAAGUGGAUGUGUGAAUCAAACCCACCAGCGGUAAGGAUACGCCCUUCGCCCGCAAUCGCCUCUGUGCCCGGACCGACGAUGAUAUCAACACCCGGUUGCGUAUCAGGGUUGCCAGCUUUGCCAAUCCUAUGGAUGCGCCCAUCGCGCAGGCCUACAUCCGCCUUAUAGAUCCCAGUAUGAUCGACGAUCAAAGCAUUGGUGAUGACCGUAUCGACAGCUCCCUCCGCGCGGGUUGUUUGCGCUUGGCCCAUACCGUCGCGGAU
rnacentral:sRNA from 1 species